UAAUAGAAAGCAUUUAAAUGUAUGUGGUUUCGGCCCACAAGAAGAGGCCCACCCUCUCUAUUAU
rnacentral:tRNA from 1 species